GAGGGGAUGGCUGAGAUGGUAAAGCAGCGGCUUGCUAAGCUGUCUAGGUAAAACUUUGCACGGGUUCGAGCCCCGUUCCCCUCG
rnacentral:tRNA from 1 species